rnacentral:rRNA from 1 species
UACAGAGGGUGCAAGCGUUAAUCGGAAUUACUGGGCGUAAAGCGUGCGUAGACGGUUGCGUAAGUCAGAUGUGAAAGCCCCGGGCUCAACCUGGGAAUUGCAUUUGAGACUGCGUAGCUAGGGUGCGGAAGAGGGAAGCGGAAUUUCCGGUGUAGCGGUGAAAUGCGUAGAUAUCUGGAGGAACACCGGUGGCGAAGGCGGCAUCCUGGACCGGCAUUGACGCUGAGGAGCGAAAGCCAGGGGAGCAAACGGG